AGGACGAACGCUGGCGGCGUGCUUAACACAUGCAAGUCGAACGGUGAAGGACGGAGCUUGCUCCGACCGGAUCAGUGGCGAACGGGUGAGUAACACGUGAGUAACCUGCCCCAGACUCUGGAAUAACCUCGGGAAACCGAUGCUAAUACCGGGUACGAAACGAAGCUGCAUGGCUAUCGUUUGGAAAGUUUUUCGGUCUGGGAUGGACUCGCGGCCUAUCAGCUUGUUGGUGAGGUAAUGGCUCACCAAGGCGACGACGGGUA
rnacentral:rRNA from 1 species